rnacentral:tRNA from 1 species
AAGGCUUUAAGUUAAAUCAAACUAAUAUCCUUCAAAGCUAUAAAUAAAGAAAUUCUUUAGGCCUUA